AAAAAAAAAAAUCAAACUAGAGCAGACGCUUUAGUCGCGUUUUCUCCAUUCUGUUCGCUGACGGUUCCCAACGAAGGGAAGGCGGGGAAUUUUUGAUGAAUUGAUCAUUACUAUUCUUGCGUUACUCUUUUAGCCGUCGUAAAUGUGUUCACGCUCAUUAACACAGUUUGACAGCGACAACGAUGAUGUUGAGGAGGAGCGGAACCCCCAUGAAACUCCAGAAAAGGAAAUUCUUUGGGCUGCAGCUGAAGGAGAUAUAAAUGUAAUUAGAAAUUUACUUCAAAAUAAUCCAGCUUUGGUGCAUGUGAAAGAUCAGGAUGGCUACAGCGCUCUCCACAGAGCUUGCUAUGAAAAUCAUGUGAAUAUUGUGGAAUUAUUACUGAAAAACAAAUCCAACAUUCAUGCAUUGACUAAUGAAAUGUGGCAACCAUUGCAUUCAGCUUGCAAAUGGAAUAGCAGUUUGUGUGUGACAUUAUUGUUGGAAAGGGGUGCAAGUAUCAAUGCAGUUACAAAGGGUGGGCUUACACCUCUGCAUUUGGCAUCAUCUAAUUCAACUGCUUAUGAAACCUUAAUUGUCUUGUUAAACCACCCAUUAGUCAAUCCAAGAAUUUUGAGUAACAAUGGUGAAACAGCUUGGGAAAUUUCCCGUAGAUGUGGUCCGUACUCGCGACUUUUUGAUAUGGUAAAUGAAGCUGUCAAUGAAAUAUAAACUCAAUCAUUAAGUCUGUCCUCAGUAUCAUUGUGUCACUUCUGAAGAACUAUUUGACCUGUCAAGUUCAGCAUUAACUAAAGGUUUGGUAAUGUUCUUGCCUGUGGAAAUUCUAGAACAAAAUAAAGAUAAUAGAAAUUCUGUAAAGAAAUCCUUAACUGCACAAUCAGCAAGAGUCAAGGAAUGCUUUAUUAGAGACUGACUAUCAUUUAACAGUGCUUCACGAGCAUGGCAAUUGGUUUGAUAAUAAAAAUAAUUUUGUGUAA